GAUGAACGCUGGCGGCGUGCCUAAUACAUGCAAGUCGAGCGAACAGACGAUGAGCUUGCUCCUCUGACGUUAGCGGCGGACGGGUGAGUAACACGUGGAUAACCUACUUCUAAGUCUGGGAUAACUUCGGGAAACCGGAUCUAAUACCGGAUAAUAUAUUGAACCGCAUGGUUCAAUAGUGAAAGACGGUUUUGCUGUCACUUAUAGAUGGAUCCGGGUCGGAUUAGCUAGUUGGUAAGGUAACGGCUUACCAAGGCAACGAUGCGUAGCCGACCUGAGAGGGUGAUCGGCCACACUGGAACUGAGACACGGUCCAGACUCCUACGGGAGGCAGCAGUAGGGAAUCUUCGGCAAUGGGCGCAAGCCUGACGGAGCAACGCCGCGUGAGUGAUGAAGGUCUUCGGAUCGUAAAACUCUGUUAUUAGGGAAGAACAAAUGUGUAAGUAACUCUGGACGUCUUGACGGUACCUAAUCAGAAAGCAACGGCUAACUACGUG
rnacentral:rRNA from 1 species